GCUGCGGUGGCCUAGUUGGUUAGGGCGCCAGACUCAUAAUCUGGAGAUCGCGGGUUCGGAUCCCGCCCGCAGCA
rnacentral:tRNA from 1 species